UCCGGUUUGGCACCGGCAGUCUCCCAUGAGUCCCCGGCUUUACCCGCUGGCAACAUGGAACAGGGGUUGCGCUCGUUGCGCCACUUAAGGCAACACCUCACGGCACGAGCUGACGACAACCAUGCACCACCUGUGCACGGCCCCGAAGGACACCGCAUCUCUGCGGCUUUUCCGUGCAUUUCAAGCCCUGGUAAGGUUCUUCGCGUUGCGUCGAAUUAAGCCACAUGCUCCGCCGCUUGUGCGGGCCCCCGUCAAUUCCUUUGAGUUUUAACCUUGCGGUCGUAAUCCCCAGGCGAGGUGCUUAAUGCGUUAGCUGCGGCACGGUAGGCGUCGAUAGCCUCCCACACCUAGCACCCAUCGUUUACGGCUGGGACUAC
rnacentral:misc_RNA from 1 species